GUGUGUGUGUGUGUGUGUGUGUGUACAUUUGUCUCAUUCUUUUUCGUUUACUGUAUGGUGCUCUAUAGUGCUUCUUUCUAGAUCCUAUCAAUGCCUAUUCUUUUUGAUCAUUUCCCCCUUUAUUUCUACUUCUGCCUUUAGGCAGGCAGGAAUAGAAACAGAUUUCUGUUUCUCAGAGGGUAAACUCUUCAACUCCCCUUGUAUGCUCCCUACCUGCUAACCUUGCAUCCAUCCAUCCAUCUACCCAUCCGUCAUCCAUUUACGAAGACCACUGCCCAUAGAGGCGCUGGCAUCCGGAUCCAAGUCCUAAGGGGGUAAAGCAUUUUGCGGUGCCCAUGCUUACAUCUCCUUCCGGCCUGCCCACGCUUUACUUCUUACCGAGUGUGUUUAUGAUCACCGUGAGAUCUACAGAGUGUGUGCCGAACACUGAGCUCAUUGAGUUUGGCCUGCCGUAUCUGACAGCCCGCUGGGCUUUGAACCUGGUGAGCAGCCACUGCACCGGUGAG